GACGAACGCUGGCGGCGUGCUUAACACAUGCAAGUCGAACGGAAAGGCCCUGCUUUCGUGGGGUGCUCGAGUGGCGAACGGGUGAGUAACACGUGAGUAACCUGCUCUAGACUUUGGGAUAACUUCAGGAAACUGGGGCUAAUACCGGAUAGGAGCUCCUGUUGCAUGGUGGGGGUUGGAAAGUUUCGGCGGUUGGGGAUGGACUAGCGGCUUAUCAGCUUGUUGGUGGGGUAGUGGCUUACCAAGGCAUAGACGGGUAGGCGGCCUGAGAGGGUGACCGGCCACAUUGGGACUGAGAUACGGCCCAGACUCCUACGGGAGGCAGAAGUGGGGAAUAUUGCACAAUGGGCGGAAGCCUGAUGCAGCAACGCCGCGUGCGGGAUGACGGCCUUCGGGUUGUAAACCGCUUUCGCCUGUGACGAAGCGUGAGUGACGGUAAUGGGUAAAGAAGCACCGGCUAACUACGUG
rnacentral:rRNA from 1 species